rnacentral:rRNA from 1 species
CACGUAGGCACCAAGCGUUGUCCGGAUUUAUUGGGCGUAAAGAGCUCGUAGGCGGUUCGGUAAGUCGGGUGUGAAAACUCUGGGCUCAACCCAGAGCCGCCACCCGAUACUGCUGUGACUUGAGUUCGGUAGGGGAGCGGGGAAUUCCUGGUGUAGCGGUGAAAUGCGCAGAUAUCAGGAGGAACACCAGUGGCUAAGGCGCCGCUCUGGGCCGAGACUGACGCUGAGGAGCGAAAGCUAGGGGAGCAAACGGG